rnacentral:rRNA from 1 species
AUUGAACGCUGGCGGCAGGCCUAACACAUGCAAGUCGAGCGGAUGAACGGAGCUUGCUCCUGGAUCCAGCGGCGGAAGGGUGUGUAAUGCCUAGGAAUAUGCUUGGCAGUGGGGGAUAACGUCCUGAAACGGGCGCUAAUACCGCAUACGUCCUGAGGGUGCAAGUGGGGGAUCUUCGGACCUUACGCUCUCAGAUGAGUCUAGGUCGGAUUAGCUAGUUGGUGGGGUAAAGGCCUACCAAGGCGACGAUCCGUAACUGGUCUGAGAGGAUGAUUAGUCACACUGGAACUGGGACACGGACCAGGCUCCUACGAGACGCAGCAGUGUGGAAUAUUGGACAGUGGUGGAAAGCCUGAUCCAGCCAUGGCACGUGUGUGGAGGAGGUCUUCGGAUUGGAAAGCACUUUAAGUUGGGGGAAAGGGCAGUAGGUUAAUACCUUGCUGUUUUGACGUUACCAGCAGAAUAAGCACCGGCUAACUUCGUG